CCUACGGGUGGCAGCAGUGAGGAAUAUUGGUCAAUGUCCGGAAGGCUGAACCAGCCAUGCCGCGUGAAGGUCAGUGCCGUAUGGGAGUUAAACUUCUUUUGUGCGGGAGCAAUAAUGGUCACGUGUGGCCAGACGAGGGUACCGUACGACUAAGCAUCGGCUAAAUCCGUGCCAGCAGCCGCUGUAAUACGGGGGAUGCAAGCGUUAUCCUGAUUUAUUGGGUUUAAAGGGUGCGUAGGAUGUGAAGUAAGUCAGAGGUGAAAUGCCCCCGCUCAACGGGGUGAAGUGCCAUUGAUACUGCCUGGCUGGAAGGCGGAUGCGGUGUGAGGAAUGUGUGGUGUAGCGGUGAAAUGCAUAGAUAUCACACAGAACACCGAUUGCGAAGGCAUCUCACGAAUCCGCGAUUGACGCUGAUGCACGAAAGCGUGGGUAUCAAACAGGAUUAGAUACCCCUGUAGUC
rnacentral:rRNA from 1 species